AGGGAAAAACACACAAAGAAAUGACAAUGUGGCCCUGACCUCAGAACCUGCAGUGGCUCAGUCUGCACCUGAAACCAGUCAGGACAUGGCUGAUCCUGAGGAUGGUGUUUCCUACGCCUCCAUCAGCUACACCAAGCCAGCCAACAGCAAAGCCAAGAUUCGGAGUAAAAAAGAUGACGAUGACACAGUAACCUACUCCACAGUUAAAGCUUCCUCCUAUGAUCCCAGCAACCUCUAUGCCACCAUCAACAAACCAGAGUCAGGUCCUUAGAUCAUCGCUUCUGUUCAGAAUUUCUAAUCUGAAGUGUUGGGUGUUAUCUAUAGUGGCACAGUUUAAAAAGCAGAAGUCAAACCACAACAUUUUCACUGAGGGUGCUUAAUAUGCUCCAUGAACUGUGUGAAUGUUGGGUUUAUUUUUCAAGGUUUAGUGUAUAGUUUUUAUUUUUAUUUCAUGUUUUUAAAAUGUAUGUUGACUGUAUUUUUCUGCAAAUAUAAUAAUUUAUCUACAUAAAGUUUAGUUUGAUAACCUAUAACCUAAGUUUGAUAACUUAUCUUUAUCUGAUAUGCAGUACUUUGGUCAUUUAUGUCUUGGCUCAAGGCCGGAUAUAAUGUGAUGUGACUUAUUUGAGCUACAUAAAAGCUGUAGAAAUUUAAAAGAAAUAAUGAAUCACUGUGAAAAUGUUUGUAAGAAGGAUGUCAUGCAUGUAAGAGUGUGAGAAAUAGCCACUGAUGGUUAGUUUGAGGAAGUGGCUGAUUCUCUUUAAGAAACUAUUAGCUUAGAGACGUUUGAGGACAAAAGAGGAAAGACAGACAGAAAUGCAGAUGGUUCAAUUCAGACGGAUUAAAAUGUCGUUAUUUCAUGUGGUGGCUAAUGGCAGAUGUGAUUUUUUUUGUAAAUACUCACAUUAGUCCCUUAAAAAUGGCCUUUGUACAAGAAUCAAAUGUAAACAUUGUUAGGUUCAUCUAUUAUGUUGCUGUGAUGCCACCUGUAGGUGAAAUGUCAUAAAGUUUACACGCUGAGAGCAACCAAACCAGCAAUUUUAUUUAGAUGGCACCUCGUCAUGAACCUACGUUAUUUAAAAGUGUUUUACAGGCAAAGUGAUGAAGUUUACAAAAUAGAGAGACUUUAUAAAACAGAAUAGUUACUUAAAAGCCAUGGGAAAAGAACUGUCUUUGGCUUACGUCUAAAAAUUGCAACAUUUUGGACAGAUCUGAGUUCUAAGGGGAACUGAUUCCAGCAGCAGCAGCAGGCAGAAUAAUGACUAAACACUUACUACCACUUCAUCGUGUCUGAUCUGAACACACCAGUCUUUGUAGAUCUCUAAGAGCUUCUGGGCCUCAGCAAACAAUUCCCCAAUAUAAUUCAGGCCCAGAUCAAUCAGAAACUAGUGGACAAAAGGUAUUGCCUUAAGUUCAGCUCUAUGUUUACCUGAAAGCAAGUGAAGCGACCUGUUGAAGUGGUGUGUUCUCCUUUCUUGAUGUUUGUCAGUAUUCUAGCAGUAGCAUUUUCAAUGGUUGCAAAUGCCUAAAGGUCUUAUUAUGGAGGCCACUAAGAAGUGCAUUACGGUCAUCCACUCUACAGUUAAUGAAAGUAAAGCAUGAAUGGGAUUUUCUAAAUCUUGCUUUGAAACAGUGCUUCUCUGUGUUAUCAGUUAAUUUAGUUACAGCUUUGAUGUUUAGAUCCUCAUCAAUGACUACACCAAGAUUGUUGUCCUAUUUAUUACUGCCCUGCACUCCUGGUAAGCUAUGAGAUCCACGAGAGCUGAUGUGGCUACCAGUCAUUUUAAAUUUUGCAGUGUUUAAAUUAUUUAGCGCUUUUUUAAAAAUGUACAUAUUAUCAGCAAAAUACAUUUAAGUCUAAAAGUAAAAGUUAUCAGCAUGUUGAAAAAAUUAACCUUUUCAGUGUUGUAUUUUUCUGUAUUAUGAUAAUGAUAUUUUAAGUGAUGCAUUAUAAUUAGCCAGCUGUAACAGAGCUCUUUCUACACAGUAUUUAUAUUUCUAGUAGUUUAAUUUACUGCAUAACAAUCUUCUGUGUUUUAUACGCUCUUUGUGUGAUUUAGCAAUCUUUACCUGCAAUGUAAUCGUGACUAUAGCUGAUGUUGAAGUAGAAAGUACAGUGUUUCCCUUUGAAAUAUAGAUAAGUGUAAAAAAAAAAAAAUACUCACGUUGCUUAAGUAUCUUGGAAAGUAUUUAAGUACAAUAAAGAAGUGUUGGAUGUGUUGUGUGUAUAGUAUGUUGCUUGUGAUUAUUAUGUAUGUUAUGUUGUAUUGUAUGUGAAUUGUAUGUACAGUAUAU